rnacentral:rRNA from 1 species
CCCGCUGAACUUAAGCAUAUCAAUAAGCGGAGGAAAAGAAACUAACAAGGAUUCCCCUAGUAACUGCGAGUGAAGCGGGAAAAGCUCAAAUUUAAAAUCUGGCGGUCUUGCGGCCGUCCGAGUUGUAAUCUGGAGAAGCGUUUAUCCGCGUCGGACCGUGUACAAGUCUUCUGGAAGGGAGCGUCGUAGAGGGUGAGAAUCCCGUCUUUGACACGGACAACCGGUGCUUUUGUGAUGCGCUCUCGAAGAGUCGAGUUGUUUGGGAAUGCAGCUCAAAAUGGGUGGUAAAUUCCAUCUAAAGCUAAAUAUUGGCGAGAGACCGAUAGCGAACAAGUACCGUGAGGGAAAGAUGAAAAGCACUUUGGAAAGAGAGUUAAACAGUACGUGAAAUUGUUGAAAGGGAAACGUUUGAAGUCAGUCGCGUCUUCUGGGACUCAGCCGUAGCCCCUAGCUCGGCGCAUUUCCCGAUGGACGGGCCAGCAUCGAUUUUGACCAUUGGAAAAGGGCCCAUGGGAAGGUGGCACCUCCGGGUGUGUUAUAGCCCAGGGUCGCAUACUUUGGUUGGGAUCGAGGAACUCAGCACGCCGCUUGCGGCCGGGGGUUCGCCCCGCGUACCGUGCUUAGGAUGCUGGCGUAAUGGCUUUAAACGACCCGUCUUGAAACACGG